GUUUCCUGCUGAAGUCUGCUGCUGGCAGAAAUGCACUGGCUUCAUCUGAUAUUGCAAUGGAAUCUGUACCAGCUCAGGCCAUGGUGACAGGAUGGUUAUUAGCAGAUCUGUCAGCUUUAUGACCUCAACCUGCCCUGGAGCAGCUGCAAGCAUACAACAAUCUUCUUUCUCUUCAGUUAGUCCGAUCAUAUCACCCAGCUAUCUGACUACAGCAGAGGGGAGCUGCGUUGACAUAUCUGAGAGAGCAGUAGUGAUGUGGGUCCCAGCAGGGGUUAAGGAAAGGAAGGUACGAACGAGUGCCUCUUCCAGAAAGGAAGGAAGUUUCUCCAGCUCUAUCCCAAUGGAUCCAUUGAGAGUUCACAUUGCCUUCAGCCGCAGUGGCCCCCACAAGGCGAUGCGAUGGCUGCCCUUUCUCCCCUGUACACAGCUUUGGCCCCUUCACUGCCCUCCCUCCUGUCAGUGACUGCUCAAGCAGUCAAGCAACGAGCCACCAGCCUGGGGAACUAAAACAUGAAAUUUCAGCACUAAAAUUCAAAAUCCGUUUCCUUUUCUUGCUUUACUAUGAGUAAGCCCCAGCUUAAUGCGCAGCUGUAUGAAUGCUGACACAAGGGAUGAGGUGCCAGAGGAUAAGAAUGAAUGGCUAGGGACUGGAAGGCUCUAGCUGUCUCUAUCAAGGAUGCUCAGUGUGCCUGGGAAACUACAGAUCCCCUGUUCCCCUGCUUCUGUGAGCACAAUGAGCAGGAAGAAGUAUAACUGUGUCUGUGGGUCACAGGAAGAAGCACACUGGCCCUGCAGCUCUCUCCAGCUCUGUUCUGAGCAGCUGAAGCUGACUCAGAGCUCCUGAUGCUGGUACUUAGUUUGUCGUUAGGAGUGGGGGUACAGAUGGAUGGAUGGACACUAUGCAUGGGGCUGAAAUAAUCUUUCCAUGGAUUUUAACCCCAUUAUGAUUUUUUAAGGCCAUGCUAUUGUAAAGAAUC
rnacentral:lncRNA from 1 species